CAUCGCAAUCCACAGAAGUGCUCUACAUGGACACAUCGAUAAGUUAAAAAUACCAAAACUUAGAAACUCAGAAACUUUAAGCUAAUAGAUAUACAUAUUAAAGAAUUUGAACAAGUUAUAGACAUGAUUGUUUUUAACCAUCUAAGUUUGUAAUUAUUUAUUAUUAAACGUAUCAUUUUCUAUUAUUUUAUUAAUUCAUGAAGUAAUAGCUUAAAUUGAAUAACUUAAUUGCUACAGUCUACAUCUACUAUUCCUACAUAGUAUUUUUUAAUUUGGUCAACAAGAAGAAUUUUUUUAACCAUUAAAAUUGUUCAUAUUUAUUUUUCAAAUCAUCAAAAUGGUCACAUAACGAUUCCAGCUUAAAUGAUUAUUCUAUCUACGAUUUUUUUAUUUUUUGUAUGACGUAUUGAAAAUACAAAAUAAGUUUAUGUAAAAAAUAUGUUGAAAAAAAUUAUAGUAUUUAUAGAAAAAUGAAAUCGUAAUUAAUAUUAAUCAGGAAAAUGCAGACUGUAAAUAAGGCAGAGGCAAUGUGAAGGCAUUAUAGUACUUAUAAUAAAAGGGCGAUUGCAUAUGAAGACUAUCAGUGUAGUCACAAUUGGUGUAGCAUUGCAUUAACUUGCCACCAUCGCAUCCACAUUUUUGACUUUUAAUUACUUUGUUUUCAUUUUAUUGCUAUAAAAUUAGAUUAUUUCACAAAUUAUUUUCAAAGUAUAAAAACAGUACAUCGAAAAAAAUUUUUGACAGAAUAUUAACUGAAACGAAUGAAGCAAUUUGUUUGAGUAUUUUCAAUAAAACUGGAUUAGCAAAGAUGAUAUCAAGAUAUCUAGCAUGGAAGUUUAUUUAUGUUUAAGAUUCAAUUUGAACUAACUAGAUUUUUGCAGCACGAGAAUCAGUCAGAUAGCAGAAAUGAAAUAAUAGUUAAUUUCAUAUCCUUUACUUUCUGGUGUCCAUUGCAUUGGCAAUAUAUGACUGACCAACCCGAGUUCGAUUCGUUGAGAACUAUACAUGCAGACAUUCUCAAAGAUAUUUUUCGAUGUUUUGUGGCUCAACCCAAGAUUUACUAAACACAAUCUAGUAAAUUAAAAUUGACUGUUUAGAUUCCUUAAUAGUACAAUAAAUAUUAUGACUUAAAAUUGACACAUUACUGAAAUAAUUUAAAAUAAAACAAUUUAAUUUUUUUAACUAAUUUUAUCUAUUUUUAUAUUUAAUGUAUAGAUUUGUAUUUCUUACGUAACGAAAAAAAUUGUUGUGAAA